GCAGUACAAUAUCACUGUGGCAUCAACAUCUCGUCAGCGAAAGACCACAGCCACACCAAACAAGCUCUCAGCAAAUACACAAGCCAAGUUACCAGACCUGAUGUUGAGAGCUGCAAACAAACAUGUUCCACAAGCAACUGUUGACAAGCUUGAUAUCAAUUUCAUAUGUGAGGGUCUACAGCCAUUUGCAGUGGUAGAACAGCCAUCUUUCAAAGAAUUGGUUACCACAUUACAACCUCAAGCCAAAGUCAUCUCCAGACCCACUGUCCGUGCCAGAAUCUGUGAAGCUGCUGAUCACAUGAAGAUGACUUUGGUUGCAGGAUUGGAUAAAGUCAAAUUUGUUGCUACCACUACUGAUUGUUGGUCAGCUCAUCAGAAAAGUUACAGCAUGAAUGACACCUACAAGAGGCUCUCCCGUGCAACCUUUGCAAAAUGCCAGGCCAUUUGGAACAAAACUGGCCGGUCUCAUUUGGCUAAUGAAGUGGUAGAGGACAAGUGUUGUGUCUAAACUCAGACCCCGCUGUAUCCAGGACUUAUUCCCAUGAAAGAAAAACAAGGCAAAAGCGAUUGAUUACUUGCGCAAGGGAGGCCUCAUUGGUAUCUUAGCUCAUCACGAAUGACCCCGACGAUGGCCUCCUCUCGCUGCCUUUUAUUGAGAGACAGUUCACACAAAACAAUAGUACCUCCCCUCAUAAACCCCCUUGGUUACAAAGACAAGGCACUGUAUGCAUAUGUGUGUGUGUGUGUGUGUGUGUGUGUGUGUGUGUGUGUGUGUGUGUGUGUGUGUGUGACCUCCUGCUGGGCAGGAAGCUUACAUCAAAAGGACCUUCACAUGGAUGUUGCCUGUAAUAAAAGACUACAGCUCCCCACCCAGAACCUCGAGAAUCUAGGGAGGGGGACAGUGGAAUUCCUUUCAUCCUACAGUUAAACAAUGUAGAAAUGGAUGGUAAGCAUAAAAAUGACAAACAUUUAACAAUUCACUCUAACAACAAGUGUGAGCUACAGAUCAUUUGUCCCAAUGCAACACGGUGGAAUUCAACCUACCUUGCCAUUGAAAGGAUAAUACGCAUCAUUGAUGAGAAGGGGGAAGAUGCCAUCAGGAGCAUUUGUGAGGAGUUCAAGGUGAAAAUGUUGAGUCCUGCAGAAGUUGCCUUCCUUAGGGAGUACUGUACCACCAUGAAGUCACUGGUGAAAACUUCAAACAUCCUUCAGUCUGAGUCCACUUCCUUUAUGGGAUGGCUCCUGCCAGUAAUCCAACAACUACUGUCCAAACUUAGCAGGCUGGAGACAUCAAGCAAGACGUGUGCCACUCAUCAGAGUCCUGCAAAAUGGCCUUCAAAAGCCUUUUGGACCGAUGAUAGAGGAUCCAGUUCCAGAUCCAGAGUUGGCUGCAGCUGCAGUCCUCUUACCCAAGUUCAAGACUUCCUGGACUGACAGAGCAGAUGUAAUAGAGGCUGCCUUGGCAUACAUUAAACAACAUCUUGAAACGACGGAGCAUGAGAGUGAGGAUCAGCAAAGAGAGUCAUCUGAUGAAGAUGAAUUCUUCUCCAGACCAAUCUCCAGAAGGCUGCAAAGUGCAGCUGAGCUUGAUGGUUAUCUUGCUUGUGCCACAGACACCAUGGAGCUGCUGCACUCCUUCUCAGCCAUCAAAAACCUCUCUCUCUUCAACUGAACACAGCUCUACCUGCUUCUGCUGCGU